AUUGAACGCUGGCGGCAUGCUUUACACAUGCAAGUCGAACGGCAGCGCGGGCUUCGGCCUGGCGGCGAGUGGCGAACGGGUGAGUAAUGCAUCGGAACGUGCCCAGUAGUGGGGGAUAGCCCGGCGAAAGCCGGAUUAAUACCGCAUACGACCUGAGGGUGAAAGCGGGGGACCGAAAGGCCUCGCGCUAUUGGAGCGGCCGAUGUCGGAUUAGCUAGUUGGUGGGGUAAAGGCUUACCAAGGCGACGAUCCGUAGCUGGUCUGAGAGGACGACCAGCCACACUGGGACUGAGACACGGCCCAGACUCCUACGGGAGGCAGCAGUGGGGAAUUUUGGACAAUGGGGGCAACCCUGAUCCAGCCAUGCCGCGUGCGUGAAGAAGGCCUUCGGGUUGUAAACCGCUUUUGUUCGGGAGGAAAUCCUGUGGGCUAAUACCCCGGUGGGUUGACGUUACCGGAAGAAUAAGCACCGGCUAACUACGUG
rnacentral:rRNA from 1 species